GCUAUUGUAGCUUAAAUCAAAGCAUAACACUGAAGAUGUUAAGAUGGACCCUAGAAAUGUUCCAAAAGCA
ensembl:Mt_tRNA